rnacentral:rRNA from 1 species
GACGAACGCUGGCGGCGUGCCUAAUACAUGCAAGUUGGGCGCUGAAGGUUGGUACUUGUACCAACUGGAUGAGCAGCGAACGGGUGAGUAACGCGUGGGGAAUCUGCCUUUGAGCGGGGGACAACAUUUGGAAACGAAUGCUAAUACCGCAUAAAAACUUUAAACACAAGUUUUAAGUUUGAAAGAUGCAAUUGCAUCACUCAAAGAUGAUCCCGCGUUGUAUUAGCUAGUUGGUGAGGUAAAGGCUCACCAAGGCGAUGAUACAUAGCCGACCUGAGAGGGUGAUCGGCCACAUUGGGACUGAGACACGGCCCAAACUCCUACGGGAGGCAGCAGUAGGGAAUCUUCGGCAAUGGACGAAAGUCUGACCGAGCAACGCCGCGUGAGUGAAGAAGGUUGUCGGAUCGUAAAACUCUGUUGGUAGAGAAGAACGUUGGUGAGAGUGGAAAGCUCAUCAAGUGACGGUAACUACCCAGAAAGGGACGGCUAACUACGUG